GACAAGUGGCAAGCUUUGUGAUGCUACAGGGACACUCAGAGGGAUGACUGUGGUCAGGACAAAGCUCUCUUGGGGACAUGCUUAUCCGAUAACAUUCUAUGAAAGCUAUAAAGGCAAGAUUACUUAUAUACUAUUUAUAUUUAUACAAAAUGCUUGCCCAAAGUGAUUGUUAUGUAAGUGAGAUAGAUUUUAAUUUUUCCUACUUUUCAUAUCUUUAAAGUUUUUAAAACAUAUAUAAUUACAUCAUUCUCCCUUUACUAUGAAAAUGGUAACUAUCUCAUACAAAACAAUAUCUGCACAUCAAAGCUUGAAAUCAAUGAAGACUGUUUUCCCAGCAAUCAUUGAACCCAAACCAAGCAGUGAAGAAAAAAAC
rnacentral:lncRNA from 1 species